GCAUCGGUGGUUUAGUGGUAAAAUUAGCCGUUGCCAUCAGUUUCGGCUAGCCCCGGGUUCGAUUCCCGGCCGAUGCA
rnacentral:tRNA from 1 species